CACGGAGUUAGCCGGUGCUUCUUCUGCGAGUAACGUCAAUUGAUGAGCGUAUUAAGCUCACCACCUUCCUCCUCGCUGAAAGUGCUUUACAACCCGAAGGCCUUCUUCACACACGCGGCAUGGCUGCAUCAGGCUUGCGCCCAUUGUGCAAUAUUCCCCACUGCUGCCUCCCGUAGGAGUCUGGACCGUGUCUCGAGUUCCAGUGUGGCUGGUCAUCCUCUCAGACCAGCGUAGGGAUCGUCGCCUAGGUGAGCCAUUACCCCCACUACUAGCUAACUCCCAUCGUGGGCACAUCUGAUCGGGACAAAGGACGGCCCGUAAGGUUCCCCCUCGUUUGGUACUUACGUACGUUAUCGGUCGGUUACUUAGCCUUACCCGUUUCC
rnacentral:rRNA from 1 species